AAAAUUACUUAUUACAACUUGGACUUGAGUUUCCUGCUAAAGUAAAAUUUGAUAAUGCAGGAUUUGGUAGCUUUAGUAGCUAAGGGCAACUCCGGCUGGCGAGGGCUCGGAAGGGGCUACAUUAUGCUCCUGUUCAUUCUGAAGACUUGAUGGCUAACUCUUCAACCAACCAACCACUGCUGCAAGAAACAGGAACAAAAGACUAAUUUUCCUCAUUUUCAACCACAAAUUCUCUAAUUUUGAUAAUUUUUUACAGGUUUAAAGUCCUAUUCAGCUACUUUUCUAACCAAUUUCUUGUGAGAUUUACUACUACUAAACAAAUGA
rnacentral:misc_RNA from 1 species